rnacentral:rRNA from 1 species
GACGAACGCUGGCGGCGUGCUUAACACAUGCAAGUCGAACGCAGUGGCGCACGGGUGAGUAAUGCCUAGGAAUCUGCCUGGUAGUGGGGGCUAACGUCCGGAAAAGGGCGCUAAUACCGCAUACUAUCAGAUGAGCCUAGGUCGGAUUAGCUAGUUGGUGGGGUAAAGGCCUACCAAGGCGACGAUCCGUAACUGGUCUGAGAGGAUGAUCAGUCACACUGGAACGGAGACACGGUCCAGACUCCUACGGGAGGCAGCAGUGGGGAAUAUUGGACAAUGGGCUAAAGCCUGAUCCAGCCAUGCCGCGUGUGUGAAGAAGGUCUUCGGAUUGUAAAGCACUUUAAGUUGGGAGGCGGUACCAACAGAAUAAGCACCGGCUAACUUCGUGCCAGCAGCCGCGGUAAUAC